UAUGCGAUACUUGGUGUGAAUUGCAGAAUCCCGCGAACCAUCGAGUCUUUGAACGCAAGUUGCGCCCGAAGCCAUUAGGUUGAGGGCACGCCUGCCUGGGCGUCUCAC
rnacentral:rRNA from 1 species